rnacentral:rRNA from 1 species
AGAGAAGCGAAGCGGUGACGUGGAGCAAACCUCAGAAAGCCAAUCUCAGUUCGGAUUGUAGGCUGCAACUCGCCUACAUGAAGUUGGAAUCGCUAGUAAUCGCGAAUCAGAAUGUCGCGGUGAAUACGUUCCCGGGUCUUGUACACACCGCCCGUCACACCACGAGAGUUUACAACACCCGAAGUCAGUGGCCUAACCGCAAGGAGGGAGCUGCCUAAGGGUGGGGUAGAUGAUUGGGGUGAAGUCGUAACAAGGUAAC